rnacentral:piRNA from 1 species
GUCAGAACAACUAAGACCAACUGGAGCAC